GAGAAAUUAAAUUAUUAAAAAAGGCAUGUUACCUCUCGUAAUCUAGGACAUGUCAUAAUCAUACAACACAAACAAUCAAAUUUCAUUGUAUCUUCAAAUUUGAUAGUCCAAACUUGAAGUGGAUGGAAUUGGCCUGCAUUGUUUGUUAUCCAUUUGAAUCAUAACUGAAUAAAUUCAUGAAGUACACAUUUCAUCUCUGUGCUGCAAUUUGAAAAAAUUUAAUAUUAAUAUGUCAUCGAUAGAAGAACUAAAACAAAUUUGGUUGAAUUUUGAUUUCAUCUUUUUUGGAAUUUGAUUACAAUAACUUCACUAGAAAAGAAGAAGAGAAGUUAAAUCGUCAAAAGAAUUUAUGCAUGAAUAUAAAUUGAAAUAUAAUAAUAUCUCUUACCAUUUUAAAAAUAACUGUACCCUAAUUAUUUGGCUUAAUCUAAUUUAUCUAUAUAUUUAUCUAUAUAUAAAAGGAGAAGAAAAAAUGACACAUGUCAUGACCACAAUUUUUUAGAAUUUUAAAUUUUAAAUCAUUUUAAAUAAUCAGUAAUACAUAAUUAUUUAAAUAAUUACAAGUUGAUAGAUUUUGCGGUAGUUACACAACAUUUGUUUUUUAAAAAUAUUAAUAAUUAAUUACAAAACAAGUUGAUAGAUUAUGCGGUAGUUACACAACAAUUUUUAAUUUUUUUUUUAUAAAUAAUUAGUUACAAAUUAUUAUUUAACUAUUACAUCAUCUAUCUACAAAUACUUAAUUUUAAUUACAAAAGCUUAAAUUUUAAAUUAAUAUAUACAAAAAUAUUCGACUGUGACAUCAUAUGUUAUAAAACACAUAACCAAGAUAGAUACCAAGCAAUAUUCGAUAUGACAUUAUAAACAUAAUAACCAAUGUACAAAUUUAAUGCUGUUCUGAAGACCUACUUGGCCUGAGAGACAAAACUUAAGAAAAUUUUCCAGAAUAGCGCAUGAUGAGCUUCACAAUGAAACUUAAAUAACUCAACUAUCAUGGUUAACUGGAUCGAGGCAGCCUCAAAAUCAGAAGAUACAUAAUUUUAAUUACAAAAGCUUAAUAUAUCAUUAUUUUGUAUUUAUAAUUUAUACCAAACAAUAAAUAUAUUUUAACAGAUAAAUACAAGCAGUUUUAUAACUUCUCAAUAACCAUCCAAUAAACAAGGAAACUUAAACUACAAUUAUUUACUGCAUCUAUAAAUUUCCCUACUAUAUAUAGACAUCUUUCAAUAAUAACUUUACAUACCUUUACAUUGUUCGUCGAUUGUUCUGCGAUAUUCAGUAAUAUAGAUGGCUUUGCACUUUCACACAAUCUCAGAAAUUACAUCUAAAUCAAUGCACUGGAACUUAAAAGUUCGUGUUAUUCGAUUGUGGAUAGUUCCUGAUAAAUUCAAAUCAGAAAUACCUUACUCUUUGGAGAUGAUUUUACAGGAUGAAAAGGUACUACUCAUACAAAUAGUUUUUAUAUACUUGAAAACAAUUAUCAUAAAACAAUAUUUUGUUUUAUUACAGGGUGAUCGUAUUCAUGCAUCACUUGGAAAGACAGUAAUUAAGCAUUUCGGAGAAAUUCUAUAUGAACUUGGUGUUUUUCGGAUGAAUUACUUUGUGAUUGCCCCAAACAUCAUGAAAUUUUAAGACAACAACACACAAACACAAGCUUAACUUCACUGUGACUACAAAUGUUAAGGAAAUUCAAGAUCCUUCUUUUCAUAUGGAUAUAUUCAAUAUCCGCACCUUUGACAAAUUGACAAUUCAUCACAAUGUUGAUGAGACUGAGUCUUUUGGGUAAUAAUGAUAUGUUAUUCCAUUCAUUAGAUUUUAAAUUUACAAUAUAUUAAUAAUGUAUUUUAUUGCAGAUGUUGUUGGACAUGUUGCUUCAUAUCAACCAAUUCAACAGAUAAAGCAAGGAGAUGACAAUAAUUAUUUCAUCAAUAUUGUUCUAGAAGAUGAUAAGUAAUUAUUUGAAAUUUAGUUUAUUAUUAUAUAUAUUCAUUUAUCAUUUAUAUAUUAAAAUGUAAUUAAAUUUCAUUAAUACAGUAAAAAUAGACUGUCAACAACAUUAUGGGGUGAACUUGCGGACCAAAUACAAUCACAUUUGACGGGAUCUGCAGAUGAACCUUUGAUUGUGGUUUGUCAAUUAAUGAAGGCUCACAAAUUUAGAGGUUUACACAUUGUAAUUUCAGUAACACAAUUUUAAAAUACAAAUUUAUUUUGUAUAAAUAUUUUGACAUUGUAUAAUAUCAAUCAUCAGAAAACUACUAAGUACGUAGUUGUUGGUAUCAAACCAAAAUCUGGAUUAAUCCUAAUCUACCUCAGCCUACUGAAUUCAAAGACAGGUUAGAAAAUUAUACUAUGUCUUAAGAGAGGAAUCCUCUCUAGGUGCUUAGUUUAAUUUACAUCUUAUUGUAUUGGGUGAAGUAGACUAACCUUAGUAGGUAGGUUUACUUCUACCCACCAUAGGAUUGGAGGUAAGGUACUUGCCCCCCUCCAUGUAUUUUUGAAUUUCAUAUAUGAUAAGGCCUGGGGGUGUUGCUCAGCCCCUGAACCCCUCAAGGGUCGUUCUAAUAAAAAAUAAAAAAAUAAAAAAAAAGAUAGAGGCUCCAACUGUCUGUUAUGGAUGGCACUGUAUUUAUUUCAAUAUUGCUUUGGAAUAAAGAGACUAUACAACUACUUGGUAAAACUGCAAAAGAGUUGAAAGAAGGAUUACUUGAAGAUGACGAAAGUUCUUAUCCAACAGAGAUUGGUGAUUUAAUGGAGAAGAAAUUUAUGUUUAAGAUUUUGAUCAAGGACUCAAACAUUAACAAAAAAGAUAAUGUCUAUAAAAAUGUUAAUUUCACCUAUGAUGAUGCUCUUUUAAAAGAAUAUUGUCAUCCUGAUCUUCAGGACAGUCUUAAUGUAAGUGUUUAAACACCAACAUAUUUGUUUACAUUAUACAUACAAAUUUUUAAAUUUUGUAUAAAUUGUUAAUUAUGUUUAUAAUGUUCAAACAAAAAUCACUUUUUGAAUGUGAGCAAAGCUAUGAUGAAGAUAAACUCUUUGAGUUAUUCUAACUUUAGAUAAGUUACAUCUUCUAUAUUACUAAUCAGAUUGAAAACACUUGAAGUACUUAUAAUCUUUAUGUUAUUUUAAUUUUAGACUCCAAACAAGAGCAGCAUUUCAGAGUGUCGUACAUUAAUUACUGAAGAUGUGAUUGAUUUAACUACAAAGAUAUCUACCAAGAGUAGCAAAGCUGCUAGAAAAUCUACAAGGCAUGAAAUUAAAGACGAUUUGAAUGUCAAACAACCCAGCAACAAAAUUCGCAAAGUGAUUAAGAAGGAAAAGAAUACCUAAAGCUAUCUUCCAAAUUUGAAGUUAUUGGAAGAUUAUGUUUUAAUUUAGGUUGUAUUAAGUUUAGUUUAUUAUUUUAAUAUAUUUAUGUUUUAAUAAGGUAGUUGGAUGAUCUAUGUAGUUUAUUAUAUAAAUUCAAGCUAUUAAGUUGUCUUCUUUAUUUAUAUCUCUCUCUCUCAAUCUAUAUCUAUCUAUCAUUCUCUCUCUCUCUCACUCUAUAUAUAUAUAUAUGUGUGUUUGUGGGGUUGUUUUUAAUUUAUGUUGUUAAUCCUCUACAUGUUGUCUUAAUGUGUAUUUUAUAUUCUCUGACUUAUAGUUUUACAUUCAUUAGUAACAGAAGGAUCAUUAAAGUUAACUUUACUGCAUACAAAAUCUAAACAACACACUAUUAGCUGAUUUUUACAAAUACGUUAGUGCAAUUUAAGAGACAUACCUUAUUCCCAUAUGUUAAAAAACAUGCAACACUUUGGUGAACAAUAUGGUGGAUCCACAUCAAUUUCUGAGCUGAUAUAUUCAGAAUAGGAAUCAGAUAUUCUAAAGCUCCAAGCAAUUCAUCUUCAUUCUUCCAAUAUAUAUGUUCAAAGGUAGUCAUAAUGAACAAUGAUUUAUAAUAAUUCUAUCAAAUUUGCUGAAGGAGUACCUUGCUUUAUAUAACAUGUUGAAUCUUCAUUUAUAUUCACAAUGCUACAGCCCCAAAGUUGCACCAAAACAGCAGCAGAAAAGAUCCAAAGCUGCA
rnacentral:lncRNA from 1 species